UAGUCCACGCCGUAAACGAUGAGAACUAGAUGUCGGGAGGAUUUACCUCUCGGUGUCGCAGCUAACGCGUUAAGUUCUCCGCCUGGGGAGUACGCCGGCAACGGUAAAACUCAAAGGAAUUGACGGGGACCCGCACAAGCGGUGGAGCAUGUGGUUUAAUUCGAUGCAACGCGAAGAACCUUACCUGGUCUUGACAUCCUGCGAACUUUCCAGAAAUGGAUUGGUGCCUUCGGGAACGCAGUGACAGGUGCUGCAUGGCUGUCGUCAGCUCGUGUCGUGAGAUGUUGGGUUAAGUCCCGCAACGAGCGCAACCCUUGUCCCUAGUUGCCAUCAUUUAGUUGGGCACUUUAGGGAGACCGCCGGUGACAAACCGGAGGAAGGUGGGGACGACGCCAAGUCAUCAUGGCCCUUAUGACCAGGGCUACACACGUGCUACAAUGGACGAGACAAUGAGACGCCAAUCUGCGAAGAAUAGCUAAUCUAUAAACUCGUUCUAAGUUCGGAUUGUAGG
rnacentral:rRNA from 1 species